rnacentral:tRNA from 1 species
GUGGAUGUAGCUCAACGGCAGAGCACCGGUCUGUGGAACCGGUGGUUGCGGGUUCAACCCCCGUCAUCCACC